rnacentral:rRNA from 1 species
CUACGGGGGGCUGCAGUGGGGAAUAUUGGACAAUGGGCGAAAGCCUGAUCCAGCCAUGCCGCGUGUGUGAAGAAGGCCUUCGGGUUGUAAAGCACUUUCAGUGGGGAAGAAAGCCUUGGGGCUAAUACCCUCGAGGAAGGACAUCACCCACAGAAGAAGCACCGGCUAACUCCGUGCCAGCAGCCGCGGUAAUACGGAGGGUGCGAGCGUUAAUCGGAAUUACUGGGCGUAAAGCGCGCGUAGGCGGUCUGAUAAGCCGGUUGUGAAAGCCCCGGGCUCAACCUGGGAACGGCAUCCGGAACUGUCAGGCUAGAGUGCAGGAGAGGAAGGUAGAAUUCCCGGUGUAGCGGUGAAAUGCGUAGAGAUCGGGAGGAAUACCAGUGGCGAAGGCGGCCUUCUGGACUGACACUGACGCUGAGGUGCGAAAGCGUGGGUAGCAAACAGGAUUAGAUACCCCAGUAGUC